AUCAGAAGUGCGAAUGCUGACAUAAGUAACGAUAAAGCGGGUGAAAAGCCCGCUCGCCGGAAGACCAAGGGUUCCUGUCCAACGUUAAUCGGGGCAGGGUGAGUCGACCCCUAAGGCGAGGCCGAAAGGCGUAGUCGAUGGGAAACAGGUUAAUAUUCCUGUACUUGGUGUUACUGCGAAGGGGGGACGGAGAAGGCUAUGUUAGCCGGGCGACGGUUGUCCCGGUUUAAGCAUGUAGGCUGGUUGUCCAGGCAAAUCCGGAUAAUCAAGGCUGAGGUGUGAUGACGAGGCACUACGGUGCUGAAGUAACAAAUGCCCUGCUUCCAGGAAAAGCCUCUAAGCAUCAGGUAACAUCAAAUCGUACCCCAAACCGACACAGGUGGUCAGGUAGAGAAUACCAAGGCGCUUGAGAGAACUCGGGUGAAGGAACUAGGCAAAAUGGUGCCGUAACUUCGGGAGAAGGCACGCUGGUGUGUAGGUGAAGUCCCUGCGGAUGGAGCUGAGACCAGUCGAAGAUACCAGCUGGCUGCAACUGUUUAUUAAAAACACAGCACUGUGCAAACACGAAAGUGGACGUAUACGGUGUGACGCCUGCCCGGUGCCGGAAGGUUAAUUGAUGGGGUUAUCCGUAAGGAGAAGCUCUUGAUCGAAGCCCCGGUAAACGGCGGCCGUAACUAUAACGGUCCUAAGGUAGCGAAAUUCCUUGUCGGGUAAGUUCCGACCUGCACGAAUGGCGUAAUGAUGGCCAGGCUGUCUCCACCCGAGACUCAGUGAAAUUGAACUCGCUGUGAAGAUGCAGUGUACCCGCGGCAAGACGGAAAGACCCCGUGAACCUUUACUAUAGCUUGACACUGAACAUUGAGCCUUGAUGUGUAGGAUAGGUGGGAGGCUUUGAAGCGUGGACGCCAGUCUGCGUGGAGCCAACCUUGAAAUACCACCCUUUAAUGUUUGAUGUUCUAACGUUGGCCCCUGACCGGGGUUGCGGACAGUGUCUGGUGGGUAGUUUGACUGGGGCGGUCUCCUCCCAAAGCGUAACGGAGGAGCACGAAGGUUAGCUAAUCCUGGUCGGACAUCAGGAGGUUAGUGCAAUGGCAUAAGCUAGCUUGACUGCGAGCGUGACGGCGCGAGCAGGUGCGAAAGCAGGUCAUAGUGAUCCGGUGGUUCUGAAUGGAAGGGCCAUCGCUCAACGGAUAAAAGGUACUCCGGGGAUAACAGGCUGAUACCGCCCAAGAGUUCAUAUCGACGGCGGUGUUUGGCACCUCGAUGUCGGCUCAUCACAUCCUGGGGCUGAAGUAGGUCCCAAGGGUAUGGCUGUUCGCCAUUUAAAGUGGUACGCGAGCUGGGUUUAGAACGUCGUGAGACAGUUCGGUCCCUAUCUGCCGUGGGCGCUGGAGAAUUGAGGGGGGCUGCUCCUAGUACGAGAGGACCGGAGUGGACGCAUCACUGGUGUUCGGGUUGUCAUGCCAAUGGCACUGCCCGGUAGCUAAAUGCGGAAGAGAUAAGUGCUGAAAGCAUCUAAGCACGAAACUUGCCCCGAGAUGAGUUCUCCCUGAGACUU
rnacentral:rRNA from 1 species